rnacentral:rRNA from 1 species
AUUGAACGCUGGCGGCAGGCCUAACACAUGCAAGUCGAGCGGAGCGGCCGACGGGUGAGUAAUGCCUAGGAAUCUGCCUGGUAGUGGGGGAUAACGUCCUGAAACGGGCGCUAAUACCUCAUGCUCUCAGAUGAGCCUAGGUCGGAUUAGCUAGUUGGUGGGGUAAGGGCCUACAAAGGCGACGAUCCGUAGCUGGUCUGAGAGGAUGAUCAGUCACAAUGGAACUGAGACACGGCCCAGACUCCUACGGGAGGCAGCAGUGGGGAAUAUUGGACAAUGGGCGAAAGCCUGAUGCAGCCAUGCCGCGUGUGUGAAGAAGGUCUUCGGAUUGUAAAGCACUUUAAGUUGGGAGGCGUUACCAACAGAAUAAGCACCGGCUAACUUCGUGCCAGCCGCCGCGGUAAUUC